AGACAGAUAUUAGAUGCAUAAAUAUAUAAUGGGAGGUAAUAAGUGCAAAGAAGGAAAAUAACUCAGAGGAUUCAUAAGGCUAUUUCAGAUGGAGUAAUUGAGCAGGCACAACCUUUUCGAACAAGUGACAUUUGAACAGAGGCCUGAGUGAGGUGGAGUAGGCCAAGUGGUUAUCUGAGGGAAGAGCCUCCCAGGCUAAAGGAAUUGCAGAUGCAAAGGCCUGGAGGCUGUCUGUGUGGAUCUUCUCUUGGCUGUGACACCAGGAUAGGCAGAGGUAAGAGAUGAUACAUACCAGGUAAUGUUCUAGGGUCUAAGUGUAAAUCCAACAUUUAUCUCUUCUCUGCCUAGCCCUGUCUUUAGCUUCCAAAGAUAUCUUUAUAGAAAUCCACCUGCCAAGGCCUGUGGGGCCUGUGGGGAGGCUGUAGGUCGUCCAGAUUCAGUACCCCUGGCUCCGAAAACAGAAGUUCACUUCACUGUCUGGGCUGGUGCUGUCUUUCCGCAGAUUAUUGUCCUCCCUCUCUGGCUGAUGGUGACCUCACAACCCUGCCUUUGCUUGUAUCAAACACCCUACAUCUCCAGCUGAACAUCCCCACCAAGACAUCAAAGUUAAAAUAAAAAACAGCAAUCCGUUCAGAGAGGAAGCCCAAGCCUUGGUGAUCCAGUUACCAGCCAGUUCCUGUUCCCAGCCAGGCUGUUGUGCCCCCGACUCGUUUUCUAGGCUAACAAAUGGAACAAAGCUUCCAGGUGUGUUUUGCUCAUCUUCAGGGUCAACAAAUAAAAAGUUUCCAGUGUCUGCAUACUCAGUGGUCAUUGUCAUACCUCAAGAAGCCAAUCUGAGACAGCCUGAUGUAACAAGAUUUUCCUCGUUUCCUGAGAAUGGCUCUGUUCUAGCAUUUUGGCAAAAUCCAGGAGGUAAGAUGUCA